CCUACGGGUUGCAGCAGUGAGGAAUAUUGGUCAAUGGGCGAGAGCCUGAACCAGCCAAGUCGCGUGAAGGAUGACGGCCCUACGGGUUGUAAACUUCUUUUGUCAGGGAGCAAUUGGGUCCACGCGUGGGCUUAGCGAGAGUACCUGAAGACAAAGCCUCGGCUAACUCCGUGCCAGCAGCCGCGGUAAUACGUAGGUGGCAAGCGUUAUCCGGAUUUACUGGGUGUAAAGGGCGUGUAGGCGGGGAAGCAAGUCAGAUGUGAAAACCACGGGCUCAACCUGUGGCCUGCAGUUGAAACUGUUGUGCUUGAGUGCUGGAGAGGCAAUCGGAAUUCCGUGUGUAGCGGUGAAAUGCGUAGAUAUACGGAGGAACACCAGUGGCGAAGGCGGAUUGCUGGACAGUAACUGACGCUGAGGCGCGAAAGCGUGGGGAGCAAACAGGAUUAGAUACCCCAGUAGUC
rnacentral:rRNA from 1 species